rnacentral:rRNA from 1 species
CAUCAACGCGUACGGGUGUUGGGAGACAUUGCCCGGAGAUGGAUUCUGAGACACGAAUCCAGACCCUACGGGGUGCAGCAGGCGCGAAAACUUGGCAAUGCGAGAAAUCGUGACCAGGGAACUCCAAGUGCGUAGGGUAAGACCUACGCUUUUCUUGACUCUUCAAAGGUCUUGGAAUAAGGGGUGGGUAAGGACGGUGCCAGCCGCCGCGGUAAUACCGGCGCCUCAAGUGGUAGUCGCUUUUAUUGGGCCUAAAACGUCCGUAGCCGGUCUGGUGCAUUCGUGGGUAAAUCAACCCGCUCAACGGGUUGAAUUCUGCGAGCACGGCCAGACUUGGGACCGGGAGAGGUGUGGGGUACUCUCAGGGUAGGGGUAAAAUCCUGUCAUCCUGAGAGGACCACCUGUUGCGAAGGCGCCACACUAGAACGG